CCCAGACUCCUACGGGAGGCAGCAGUGGGGAAUAUUGCGCAAUGGGCGAAAGCCUGACGCAGCGACGCCGCGUGAGGGAUGAAGGUCUUCGGAUCGUAGACCUCUGUCAGCAGGGAAGAACGGUCACUGUGCUAAUCAGCAGUGAAUUGACGGUACCUGACUAAGAAGCCCCGGCUAACUACGUGCCAGCAGCCGCGGUAAUACGUAGGGGGCAAGCGUUAUCCGGAUUUACUGGGUGUAAAGGGAGCGUAGGCGGCUGUGUAAGCCAGAAGUGAAAGCCCGGGGCUCAACUCCGGGACUGCUUUUGGAACUACAUGGCUUGAUUGCAGGAGAGGCAAGUGGAAUUCCUAGUGUAGCGGUGAAAUGCGUAGAUAUUAGGAGGAACACCAGUGGCGAAGGCGGCUUGCUGGACUGUAAAUGACGCUGAGGCUCGAAAGCGUGGGGAGCAAACAGGAUUAGAUACCCUUGUAGU
rnacentral:rRNA from 1 species